UUUGCAGGGAUUCCCUUUUCAUAUCAACACCGAGGAAUGUUUCAAUGGCAUACAGACUCUGCUUGCCAGCAUCCACAACCAGAACUCCUUGUUUGUGGUGGGAAAGAAGAUCGUGAUGUGUCUGGCAGCAGCUAACAACCAGGAUGUGGUUGGUGUGCAGCUGCCUUAUGAGUCUCUGAUUCAAUUCCUGAGAAGUCCUUCAGAAAUCGAUUGUAACAGAGCUCAUUGGGGGUCUUGUCAGGGUGCUUGCAACUCCCUGUGUCCACUAUUACAACUUCCGGGACGUGUUUUAUGAACUACUUCAGUUUGGAUUCCUCACAAAUGACUCAGCUCCUGAGGCAUGUGAGGGAGGACUUUUGGAGAGCCUGUUUGGGUUCAUUAGUAUGUAGGAUGUGGACGUGUGGGAGCCUACAGCAGAGCUGUACUUCACAGUGCAUAUUGGAAGUAUCAAAUAUCUUCUGAUGCUACGAUACACAAACUCUCAGCAUUGUAACUAUUACUCAGUGACACUAUGUUGGCCAUCCCUCAACACUCAUCCCUUUAUACUCUAUCCCUCAGUACUUUAUCAUUAUCCCCAUCACUCUGUUCCUUUCAGCAGCCUAAAGAGUCUAUAUAGAUACACAACACAAAAUUAAUUUCUCACUCGUAUACAAAUCUUUUUUAAAGAAUUUCUGAAACUGUGAAAAAUGACAAAUAACAUUUCAUAAAAUUUGCUGAUGGCCCCAAACUGUAGAAAAAUCAGUAAGCCUUUGAGAAUUGCACAUGUACAUUUAAGUGUCCAUAGCAAAACUAUAAAUAAAUAAAAAAUAUAAGAAAUCUUCA
ensembl:lncRNA